CAGAAAGCCAAAAAAAGGAGAGUAUGGAAUUAAAAACAAAUACAAUAAGCAUAUGCCUAUUGAGAUAUUUUGGGGGAAGCCUCCUGUACUUACGAUACUUUCAUCUACUACUUCAGUUUCAAGAGAGAGUCCAAUUUAUUGUGUCUGGUAUUCAAGGCAAGUCUGUUCUGAUCUAUCAACAAGAAGGUGGCAGUCUCCUUUCUUUCCAUCAUCUCACUUGUUAUUAAAACUAUACUUUUUAAAUAUCACCAUUUGCCCAGAAUUCCAUCAUCAUACAAAACUGGCACAAACGGUUUUGUGAAAUUAGAAGAAUAGAAUACAAUAGAAUGAGGAAUUCUAAUUUAUGCAUUCAAAGUAACACUUACUGCCAAGCCCAUCAGCAUAUUUUCACCCACUGUAAUCUGAAUCCUCAGACCAAACAGAGCAUUCAUUCCUUUCAAUUUAAGUUUAUUCAUUAGCUGGGUGUGCACUUCAUAUUCCAUAAAUGGCAACAGAUUACUGAUGGAUGUUGCAUUUGCUUCAGCUUGAGCUUUCUUUUUCAGGCGACAUAACCUGUUGAUGGAAAUUGUCACAUACGUAGAAUUAGACCGUCUUAAGCAUGUAAGCACUUUUAAUUUUUAACCACUGAUAAACUGUAUAAGUGAUCAAAAGGAAAUGUGCAGGCUUUUUAUAUUUGACAAACCAUUCAAAAUUAUUUUCUGGAAUUUAAUUCUUU